rnacentral:rRNA from 1 species
CCUCAGUGCGCUUGGCGGUGUGCUUAUACUUGCAAGUCGCCUCGAUGAUCCGGUGCUUGCGCCGGGGAUUAGUGGCGAACGGGUGAGUAACACGUGAGUAACCUGCCCUUGACUCUGGGAUAAGCCUGGGAAACUGGGUCUAAUACCGGAUAUGACUCCUCAUCGCAUGGUGGGGGGUGGAAAGCUUUUUGUGGUUUUGGAUGGACUCGCGGCCUAUCAGCUUGUUGGUGGGGUAAUGGCCUACCAAGGCGACGACGGGUAGCCGGCCUGAGAGGGUGACCGGCCACACUGGGACUGAGACACGGCCCAAACUCCUACGGGAGGCAGCAGUGGGGAAUAUUGCACAAUGGGCGAAAGCCUGAUGCAGCGACGCCGCGUGAGGGAUGACGGCCUUCGGGUUGUAAACCUCUUUCAGUAGGGAAGAAGCCUCUUUGGGGGUGACGGUUCUUGCAAAAAAAACCGCCGCUAAACUCCUGCCCGCCGCCCCCGUAAUUCCUUAGGCGCAAGCCUUUUUCCGAAUUUUUGGGCCUAAAAAACUCCUAAGGCCGUUUGUCCCCUCCUCCUGUAAAAACCGGGGCUUCACCUCCGGUUCUUGCAGUGGGUACGGGCAGAACUAAGUUGCAGUAAGGGAGACCUGGAAUUUCCUGGUUGUAGCGGUGAAAUGCGCAAUAUUCAGGAGAACACCGAUUGGCGAAUGCAGGUCUCUGGCUUGUACCUGACGCUGAGGAGCGAAGCAUUGGGGGCGAACAGAUUAAAUACCCUGGUAGUCCAUGCCGUAACGUUGGCACUAGGGUUGGGGGAAUUCCACGUUUCCGCGCCGUAACCUAACGCAUUAAUGGCCCGCCUGGGGAGUACGGCGCAAGCUAAACUCAAAGAUUGACGUGCCCGCCAACCGGCGAACAUGCGAUUAUUCGUAUGCCACGGAAACUUACAAGCUUGACAUUGAACGUAAAACUUGAACGGCCCGCUUGCU